rnacentral:rRNA from 1 species
AUUGAACGCUGGCGGCAGGCCUAACACAUGCAAGUCGAACGAGUGGCGGACGGGUGAGUAAUGUCUGGGAAACUGCCUGAUGGAGGGGGAUAACUAUUGGAAACGAUAGCUAAUACCGCAUACCAUCGGAUGUGCCCAGAGGGGAUUAGCUAGUAGGGUGGGUAAAGGGUCACCUAGGCGACGAUCCCUAGCUGGUCUGAGAGGAUGACCAGCCACACUGGAAGUGAGAAGCGGUCCAGAAUCCUGCGGGGGGCAGCAGUGGGGAAUAUUGCACAAUGGGCGAAAGCCUGAUGCAGCCAUGCCGCGUGUAUGAAGAAGGCCUUCGGGUUGUAAAGUACUUUCAGCGGGGAGGCGUUACCCGCAGAAGAAGCACCGGCUAACUCCGUGCCAGCAGCCGCGGUAAUAC